UCUGCCCAGGCUCUUCACUCCUUACCCCUGCCCGGCGCAAGAACACGCUGCCCCCUGGCGGAUGUGAGGGGUCCAGCAGUUCCCCAGGGAACUUAACCAACCCCUCCCCGCCACGUCCUGCGGGAGCCCACAGAGUGCCCAUUCCUGCUGUCCGGAAACCGCAGUGCAGCUCUGGAACCUGGCUCGCCUCGCCUCGCUUCACUGCGUUUGGAACCCGAAACCGAAGUAUACCGAGUGCAAACAAGCCCUGCCCCUUUAAAAGUGAAACCUAGGCGGUUGGCUACUCCGUGUCCAGUAGGCAAUCCACCGUAGCAUCACGGAGUUUGAGUUUGUGGCUUUUGCCAGCACAGGUGGCGCCCAGAUGAGAUGUAGGUAGCAGGCAAGAAGACAUAAUCCACAGAGCUCCGGAGACUUGAGAAAACCCCGGCCAGCACAGAAGUCCUCUGGAGAGGACAGCGAAGACAAGGGAGGGAAAUACCAGGAGAAUAGAAACCACUAGGGGUUAGUCAGAUACAGUGUCCACCGCCCAAGUUGGACCUCAAAGCUCAAGCGCCAGCAAGAAUAAAAAAAAAAAAAAAAAA